rnacentral:rRNA from 1 species
UGGGGAAUUUUGGACAAUGGGGGAAACCCUGAUCCAGCCAUCCCGCGUGUGCGAUGAAGGCCUUCGGGUUGUAAAGCACUUUUGGCAGGAAAGAAACGUCAUGGGUUAAUACCCCGUGAAACUGACGGUACCUGCAGAAUAAGCACCGGCUAACUACGUGCCAGCAGCCGCGGUAAUACGUAGGGUGCAAGCGUUAAUCGGAAUUACUGGGCGUAAAGCGUACGCAGGCGGUUCGGAAAGAAAGAUGUGAAAUCCCAGAGCUCAACGUUGGAACUGCAUUUUUAACUACCGGGCUAGAGUGUGUCAGAGGGAGGUGGAAUUCCGCGUGUAGCAGUGAAAUGCGUAGAUAUGCGGAGGAACACCGAUGGCGAAGGCAGCCACCUGGGAUAACACUGACGCUCAUGCACGAAAGCGUGGGGAGCAAACAGG